rnacentral:rRNA from 1 species
GUGUCAGCCGCCGCGGUAAAACGUAGGACGCGAGCGUUAUCCGGAUUUACUGGGCGUAAAGCGCAUGCAGGCGGCCUUGUAAGUCGGAUGUGAAAUCUCCCGGCUCAACUGGGAGGCGUCAUUCGAUACUGCAAGGCUUGAGGGCAGGAGAGGGGAGUGGAAUUCCCGGUGUAGUGGUGAAAUGCGUAGAUAUCGGGAGGAACACCAGUGGCGAAGGCGGCUCCCUGGCCUGUACCUGACGCUAAGAUGCGAAAGCGUGGGGAGCGAACGGGAUUAGAAACCCCGGUAGUCCAUGCCGUAAACGAUGCGAACUUGGCGUUGGUGGUGUAAGAGCCAUCAGUGCCGCAGCAAACGCGAUAAGUUCGCCGCCUGGGGAUUACGACCGCAAGGUUAAAACUUAAAGGAAUUGACGGGG